AAACUGUGAUAAGUAAUGUGAAUUGCAGAACUCCGUGAAUCAUCAAACCUUUGAACGCAUCUUGCACUUGAAGGGUUAAAUCUUCAAGUAUGCCUGUUUGAGAACCAUUCUCAUCUUCAUUUCCCCUCUUUUCUCUGAAAAGUGUGGGUGAAAUGGUCUGUGAGUGUCAAUUGAGGAAAUUUCCUAGUUUCUGAGAUUGUCGCUUCAAAUAGAUAUUUUGGAAAUCGAGAUUUUUGCCCUUCUGAGUCCAAAUCAAAGUUUGGUGUUACUUGGACAUUCAUCGACAGAUCUGCCUUAGAAAGGAAAGUUCGAUCCAAUUUGUGAAUUUCACAAACUUAACAAACAUGGUCUCAAAUCAGGUAAGGAUACCCACUGAACUUAA
rnacentral:misc_RNA from 1 species